rnacentral:RNase_P_RNA from 2 species
GCAGACUCAAGGCUGCGAUGUUCGCUACGCACAGGGCACUUGCUGUCCCCAUCCGCGAACGGGCCAAGGUCUGAGCAUUCUAGUCCCCCUUGAUCGGUUCUAGCGGGACCCGGCGGUAACCCGCUGAGCAGCGUACCAGAAAUUCGCCGUCGUCGUGAUCAUGUCUCAAGAUCUUGGCCUUCGGGUCAAAGGAGGACAAUGCACGGUAUGCGGUUUGAAACUCGCUGCGGGGACCGGGCGGUGCUUUGUUUUCUAUCUUGCUCGUUGCUCGGUGUUGCUAUUCAGCUCUCACGGCAUGGAUGUGUGCUUGCACGCUGGGAGUCAUCGACGGCUGGACUGUGCACUCGUACAGAAGGCGGAAGGCCCUCGGGGCUCUUUAUGUCGUGCGGAGAAUCCCUCUGCUCGACGACCCUGGACUGCCCGACCUGCUACAUCAUGCAUGCCAUGGUGCAUAGGAAGCUGAUACGCUUCUGGAUGUCGCUGCCAGCCCGGCGUUGCGAACGUACGAUCCGUACGGUGGAGCUGGUCCCGCAGUCCUGUCCUGGAAGGGCCCUUUAAGCAUGAUCAUGCGAGCGGACGAACGACGACUAGUCGAACGGGACAGAGGUCAUAACGGCCGGGACAUACGUCCGACUGACAUUUCAUGGGGUCUAGACCCCCUUCGCCUCCCAUCCACACGUUGGCUGCAUUCUGGGGUCCCCAUGCACGGAGAGUCGGCGGCACUUGGCGCGAGCAAUUGCACCGUCCUUUAGUUCACUUCGCAGCUCGUAUUCCUUCGGGAUACGAAACUCGAUUCAGACUACUCUUUGUCUGC